ACUCGAAAAUGGAGCACUUGACAAGAUUGUUUAGUUUGGUCGCUUAACGGAAGUAUGAUGGUGUCCAGCCACGCAAAAUGACUGUUCCAUCUGCCUUUUCAGUGUAUUUGUGUGGCGAUGUCUAUAAUGCUGGAAACCUCGUCGUUUUUUGCUGAUGCUGCCACCACCCAGCAACGCAGAGGCAGUGACGGGGCACCUCCUCACCACCCGCCAUGGGCAACACACUGAAGGGGUAUGAGUGCCCCCACUCUGCGAUCUCCAAAACUGUGAUGCCAAGAAGGAAGAGUUUUAUAUCCAUUAAGUGCCUUUGAAAGUUUCCAGUUGUGUGGGCUGCUGUCUCACCUCCCACAAAUUAUCUCCUUUCUGCAUAUGGUGCUAAAACUGCAAAACUGAGGAGGGCUACAGGACCCUCAGCAGAUUCCUGGUCUGUCACCUAUGUCAUGUGUUCAUGUCAAGGCUUCCUAAAUGAAAGACAUCAGUUACCUACUUAGGAAAUAGUGGUUAUAGGAAGGUGAGCAGCAAAGAAAUGUCAAUUCAGGAGGGAGGGUAUAGGAUGGGUUUUCAUUGUAUUCAGUGCCAAACUCACAAAAUCCAAAAAAUAAAAUUCAAAUAAACCUCUACUGCUACAAAGUAGAAACAAAAAAUAAAAAUUCAAGUGGGUUCAAAUAGGCUGAUUUAUCUUGUUCUAAAAUGGUAAUCAGUGAGGUGAGAAGAGGCUGUAACUGAGUUUACCACUCCCAGAAUGGGGUUGACUUGACCCACUGAUUUGCUUCAGGUGAAAUAUAUAGGUGAAGCCUGGAUUUAAAUGUCUCUGCAAUAUAAAUUUCUAAGCCCAAGCAGUAUUUGGUAAAUCAAGCUCAAACAAAAUAUCUAGCUUAGAGUCCCUUGGAGUUGGUUGGAUGACAGAAUAUGACUUGGAAAAUAUUAACGGGAAGACAUCCCUAACCCACCUCAGUCAUACUUCACACUUGGCCUCCCACUGGCUGCAGGAGGGGCUGACGGCACACACUGCAAGGAACGCCCGUGAGGGACUGGUUACUCUGGGCAUGUACAUACCAAUUAGUCCUUCCGGUCAGUAAACUAGAAUUCUGGAUCUUGAGUUACUGGCUAUUUGCAGUUGUCAGUUUAGAGAAAAGGUGAAAUGCAGUUUCAUCUAAAUAGAUUAACAUUUACCACAGAAGUGCUUCAGCAUUCUAAAUGGAUUAAAUCACUCACUGAACUAUUUUUAUAUGCCAAAUUAUUAAUGCCUUACAUCAAUCCACUGAUAGGUUGAGCCCCCAGUUAGAGUCCCUACUCAGUCCUGAUUGUUUUCCGUAUCAUGUGACUGGUGAUGCUGAGUGAUAACCAUGUCUGCCUCUACUAUACCACAGACCUUUCAUAAUUGGAUCUUGCAUUGAAAUAACCACGUGGAAGAACAAAUUGAUCAAUGAUAUGUACAAUUAUAUUUAAAGAGCAAUAGUCUGUGUCCAGAAAACUUCUUAAAUCUUAUUUGUAAACAUUUAUAUGGUAUGAUUUUAUGUUCAUAAAUCUUACACUGUAUUCUACUAUGUUAAAAUAGUCUACUAUGUUAAAAUAUUGGUGCAUGAAUUUAUUUUCAAAGAAUAUAUAAUUUAAAAACAUUUUGGUAUGUGUCAAAUAAAUUUGAUUAUGUAAGGAUAGCUGCACUGUGAGCUGAAAGCCUUUCUGUAAGUAAGUGACCACUCACUGGUUGAAGCAAAGUCUACCGUUUGUGUAUCCAUCUGCAGCAGUUUGAUGAAACCAAAAUACCAAACAUAUUUUAAGUCUAUAAGCUUUAUUGAUACUUUGCUUUUACAGUUCACAAUGCAUUCCACACAUUUAGUUCAGUACAACUUAAACCACAAUUGUAUAAAUCAGAUAAUCUUACAUAACAAUGUUUGAUAUUU